UGUGUGUGUGGGCUUGCUUUGACAGUGAUAAUGUUCAUACGGGGGUCUGUGUGAUUGGCUUGGGAUAUUGGAAUGGUCAACUAAAUCAUGCCUGAUGGACAGCCACACGUUUACUUAAGGGCCUCCGGUAGACAUGAAGAGCCCUGAGCGAUGCUCUGGAGCGAGAUCCAACACACUGGGCAGGAAGGAGAGUAUCCAACUCGAGUGUAAAAGGAUGCAAGCGGCGUGUUCAGAUCAGUGACAUCAAACUAGGACUACACCAAUCAGGAUCAAUGGAGGAUGGACACCAAAAGGAAUUCCACAAGGAGAGUCUGACGUUGGAAAGGGACCUAAAUGGAUAUUCAAGAUGACCUUCAGACCUGUAAUGAGACGGCUCUUCCUACCUGGUUGGAUUGAUGGAGAGCCCUCUGGAUCUUGUCUUGCUCUCAGUUGCACAUCUUCUCAGGCUGAACUGUAUUUGUUUCGGACAGGACUAGCUAUACGAUUGGUUCCCUUAAAUCAGAACCAAUCCGGGAACUCCAGCUAGUGCGCUCUUUGAGCUGAAGUUGUGCUCUUCAGCUGAGGAAAUAAGGAAACUUCACUGGGGCUUCAAGGUGUAAAGAGGAGGAUGUUUCAAAGUGUUCCAUGGUACUCUGAAGAAGACCGUUGUUGUGUUCCACUGGCUGCGAGGAAGAACCCACACAUCUUCCUCUUGGCAUUUCUCCUCUGAGAAUCCUGGCGCCAUCUUGAAGGAUAUUCCAGCUCAUGUAACUGAUGUCACGACAGAUUCUCAAACACUUGGUUUCUCCUGAGGGGCGUGUCUAUGGAACUGAAGACUUCAGGCAGCACUGUAUCCCAGCAUGCAUCUCUGCUCACUCAGACCACACCCCCAUGAGUAGGAUGCAACACUCUAGUGAUGGAGAUGUAUAGUUUUAUAAGUAGUGAGGGAGCAGACUAAAGUCAUUAGAACACAAUGGAAUGUCAAGUCUGUAAAUCCUUCAGCCAUGAAGAUGGUUGGAUAGUUCAGGAUUUGGGCUGCUUUUUAUUAUGGGCAGUCCUUUCACUCGGAUGCCCACUUCCCACUGGACUGUACAUGUGAUGGCUGGCUGGCAUGAUUUGCUGUUGGUGAUAAGGCGGUCAGGGUGAAUUUGCAGGGCUAUGGUCGGCUCUCUGUGAGCUCAACGUUUAGAUUUGCUCUGUAUGGUUUGUACCCUGAAUAAUCUAGAUAAUUGUAAAAAGUAGAGGUUUUGUAUUGAAUGAUUCCAGGAUUUUAGGUUUAAAGUUGUUGUGGGACGUACAUGGUAGUUUGGUUCUUCGUAUUGUUUUGAGUGAUAUAACUUGUACACACUGGGUGCAUAAUAAUGUAAAGGUACACUGAAUAGUAUUAAUGACCAACAGCAACAAACAGAUCUCCUCAAGGUAAGUCUGUUGGCUGUGUUUUAAUGAAGACCAUCGCUGGACUUCAGGAUCUUCCUCCGUUCAGCUCAAGGUGAGGCGCUGGUUCGGUUUUUUCUUUGGUUGGUUCCGGCCGGAAUGUUCGGAUUCCAGUCGGACGGGUUGUGCUUCCCGCCGUGGAAGGUUUUGAGUGCGGUCACUUGAUUUAGUCCCAAUGGUUAGCAUAGAACGUUGUAGUCUUGACAACCAUAAGAAACCUCCUGGCAGUUAGUCCCCUGAGGGACCUGGCGGAACGUUCUUGAUGUAUUUGAGUAACCUCGAGGCGGUGCCAACAAACUAUUUUUCAGUCGGUUUCCAUUGGGAAUUAUUGCCCCUAUCUUAAACAACUUAAGUUUGAUAUUAAAUACAUACCGAGACGUACGUUGUACAAUAUGCUGAUAAUUUCCGAUGGUUGCGCCGUACUUUUAACCACGAUGACGUUGCGGGACUCUCAUUGCGUACAAAACAGCGUUCUACUUGCGGGCCCAUAUUUGACAUCGGGGAAGGCUGAAAAUCAUUUCAUGGUGGAAGAUAAUUUGACAUUUCUUCAACGGAACCCAGCACCUGAAUAUGGCUGAGUAUAUUUGAUUUAAUAUCAAUACUGCUUAGUGUUCUUUGUUACUUCAGCUUUUGUAUGUUCUAAAUAUCUGCUGUCAUUAAUUGCCACAGAAGUUAAACCCUACCCAAUGGAAUGACGUUAAACAACGACUUUGGUGCAGAGUUACCAACUGGAUGAUAUCAAAGCUAAAAUAAUGGCCGUCAUUCCCACAUGUUACAGUAGAAGAUACUCUAGAACUGUACAAGGUUAAAAAGGUAACAUGUAGUUUGUCCCAAGGUGUCUGCCUCCUCACCCAGAGCAAGACCUCCACCUCCUCACCCAGCGCCAGACCUCCACCUCCUGUCAGAAGUCCUCCAGAACAGCUGAAAGGCGAGGCUGAGAGGCUGGGGACCGGAGGCUUGUGGUGCCAGGGUGGACCGGAGACUGAGGCUGGAGACCAGGGGCCUGCAGCACCGGACCAGAGGGUAACCAUCACCAAGCUCAUCUGAAACACUAAAAUCCACGACCAGGAAUCCAUGGCUGAAGGAGCUGAUGGAGGAGCCGUGCUGAAGGCCCUGGGCUGGUGGAGGAGCUGGUGGAGGGCCUGCCUGGUGAAUGACGUCUGUCGUGGGACCAGGACUCUGUCUGAGGAGAGCUGCUGGAGGAGCUGAGACACUGGAGGACGACGAGGAAUCGACCAACAAGGAUUCCUCAACGUGUUUCUGGAGCGGAGGCGAGCUGGUAGGGCAGCCGUGACUCUGGAGGAGGACCAUCACUCUACCAACAAGGGUUGUAAGUUUGUAUUAACCAAACAAACUGGAAAUAAAGGGCUUAUAAUAAGACAAACUACAUGUUUGUUACCAGACUCGCGGCGUUUGUUCCAGACCAGGACUCUGGCUGAGGAGAGCUGAUGGAGGAGCCAAGACUCUGGAGGACGACAUCACUCCACCAACCAGGAUCCUCACACACCUGAGCUGAACCUCACCUGAUCCUGUUUGGUCGGGGGUAGACGCACCUGAGCUAAACCCGCCCUGAUCCUGACAUCCUGCUGGUCCCGUCUCCUCAGUUCAUCUGAGCCUCGUCCUCCAGAAGACCUGCUGAGCUCAGUAGUCUGAGGCUGAUGGAUCAAUGACCUCCACUGGGAGUGAUCUUCUUGACCCACCAUAUAACUGUGUGCUUCCACACGCCUUUCUCUCACGUCUGUCACUAACCUCACUACUUCACUACUCUCUACUGCUUCCUCUUUCCUUCUUUCUCUGUGGUUCAAACCUUUACACUGAAGGCGCGUCUUCCUGCCCUCAGAGGGUUUAGCGUUAGGGUUGAGAGUCAGGGUUUAGAGUCAGGGACAGAGCUGGUCAGGGAGGACUGCUUUUACACAAACUUCUUCACUUGCUUUCGGAAUGUGGUGUCAUUUUGCAACUAAACUAAACAAACUGGAAAUAAAGGGCUUAAAAAUAAGACAAACUACAUGUUUGUUACCAGACUCGCGCCAUUUGUUCCAGACCAGGACUCUGGCUGAGGAGAGCUGAUGGAGGAGCCAAGACUCUGGAGGACGACAUCACUCCACCAACCAGGAUCCUCACCAGGAAUCUGGAGGACUGAUGGAGAAGCCAUACAUCUGGAAGGCAAAUCCUGAGGACCACCAAGACUCUACCAUCAAGGAUUCCUCAUAAAUGUGCAUCAUCUGGACAUAGUGGACUAGACACACCUGAGCUGAACCUCACCUGAUCCUGUUUGGUCGGGGGUAGACGCACCUGAGCUAAACCCGCCCUGAUCCUGACAUCCUGCUGGUCCCUUCUCCUCAGUUCAUCUGAGCCUCGUCCUCCAGAAGACCUGCUGAGCUCAGCAGUCUGAGGCUGAUGGAUCAAUGACCUCCAGUGGGAGUGAUCUUCUUGAACCACCAUAUAACCGUGUGCUUCCACACGCCUUUCCCUCACGUCUGUCACUAACCUCACUACUUCACUACUCUCUACUGCUUCCUCUUUCCUUCUUUCUCUGUGGUUCAAACUUUUACACUGAAGGCGCGUCUUCCAGCCCUCAGAGGGUUGAGAGUCAGGGUUGAGAGUCAGGGACAGAGCUAGUCAGGGAGGACUGCUUUUACACAAACUUCUUCACUUGCUUUCGGAAUGGUGGUGUCAUUUUGCAAAGAUUCAUUUGGGAAAAUGUUUUCCUCUGCUUUCCUUUACAAAAUUGUAUUAAAAUUCUGUCAAGUGUUUUUGUUUAUAUAUUAAAAUCCCACAUUGACUUCUACAUGUUUGUUGCGGUUCAUUUAAUUGUCCUUUAACUUGGUUAAUGUCAAG
ensembl:lncRNA